CACCCCUUGGUGCAGAUAAGCCAUCAGGACACGGUUUAGUACACUCCAACAACCUGUGGGGGCGAUGGAAAGACCGUGAGGCUAAAAGGAG
rnacentral:sRNA from 12 species